CCUCGAGUCCAGGAAAAUCUGUAGUCAUCAGCUGAAUAGAAAACAGAAAUAUUCAGUGAAAAAUUAUGGAAAAAAAUUCAAGAUUUGAAAAAAACAAUUACCGGUGUCCAUUCAGUGGAAUGCCACUUAUAACAAGGACCUGCAUCACAAACUUUCGAGAUUUGCGAAGGCGAUCCGCUACAAUAAUUUGCAUGAACCACACGAUUUUCCACCUGACACCAAUAAGGCCUUUGUUGUUUUCCCAGUCCACAAGUAGCCGAGCACUGAAAAGAAUAAUAAAAUUGUUCA